CCAGAAACCAUCUGGAAGAGCGAGAUUAACGGAUAAUGAGUGACAAUCACCGGGAGCUGGACGGCUGAAGCGCCUCGUUAAUCCCCCGUCCUCUGACGUAUAUCCUACCGAUACUCUCGGCGAACUGAACUUGAAAUCGUAAUGUCUACAACGACGACGGAGAGAUAGCUAGGUUGCCUCUCGGUGUACAACGGUGUUCUGUAUUAAUGAAGAUAAGAUAAAAUGAGCGAAUUCUACGAGAUAGAGGUGGAGGAACACCGAGUCAAUAUUGACGUUUGAAAGACAAAGCCGGAAGUCGAACAGAGGGCAAAAUGGGAAGCUGCGGUCAGGUUUGCGGGGAUAAGCUGAUUUUCUUCGAUGCACAGAUGAGACACGGAUGAGCACGGUUCUAUAUACGACGUGGUUUAUGCAAAAUUGUUCCUGACCUGGCACGAUCCCCCUUCUAUUCGCGCGGCGAAUCUGCAGCUUUAAGAUCUACCGUUGACCUUACAUAGGCCGUCGCACAAAGCAACUGGAGCAGCUUUCGCGUGCAUUUACUUUCGUGGCUGUAAUUCAGCGCUUUGUGAACUCGCAUUGAAACACGCGGAGGUCGUGGUGCGUCCCACCAAGGCUGACUAAUACCCGGAAUUGAAUAUUUCACUGGGAUGGAGAAAAUCGGGCGCGCCAACGCUCUCGUCGAUUAACUCGUCGUGGAUCGCCGGGCUAUCGAUCGAGAGUGUCGUCGAGUAUCGGCACUUGAAGUUCAACCCGAGGACGAGAUAAUAAGUUGGCUACUGUUUUAUUCAGCGAUGCACGACGCGGCGCACCUCCUCGCCAACACUCCUUCGCCGUCGAUCGUUCGUCACAACAGAGUCUCGCGUCCGCACUCGCCGUCCUCAAUGUAUGCUGCCGGCGGCAGCGCAAGUGCGAACGCAAUCGAACGCAACCACGAAUAAUUUUUACGUAAUGAUUCCGCGGCGAUUCCGUACGCGGACGUGACUAUCCGUCCGACUAGCGACUUCGACGUCCCCCGUCGUAGGGAUUUAAUCGCAAUAUUUACAUAACGGAUAAUAUAGACGCUCGAGAAACGAGGAGAUAUGUAUUAGUAGGAGUAUUAGUACGGGCGAAGUACGCCCGAGGAGCGUCCGCCUCGCGUCUCUAUCUCCCUCCGUCGUUUCGACGCCGACCUACCUCAACGAGCGACCGCGAUCCUCGACACCACCACGUCAAAUCUUCCGCGAGGCGCGCAUCGCGCGUCGCUCACUCGGGGACGCGUAUAUCUCCCCCCGUUACAAUUACGUUACAGAUAUAACGGAAUUCCUGUCGCGAAUUAACGCGCACCUCCCUCCCGGAGGAUGCGGCGCACCAGGACCACCUACGUCGUUGGCCAGCUCGCGUUUCGCGCGCCGUGUCCUUUCGUCGGGGAUCGAUUCUCUCGGCGGAGCGCGGGAGGCGGCGCCGCGCGGAACGCGGUGAUCGGUCGCGACGCGCCUUUCCGAAUGAGAAAGAUCUCGCGAGACGAGGCCGUUGGGGUCGCGCGGGCUUAUCUCGCGCGAUCCCUACGUCGUGAUAGUGCAGCGCGGCGGGCAUGGCGGCAUCCGUACCGGUCGCUCCCGGCGGCUGCCCGUGAAAAACGUACGACCCGCUAACAUUUUCGCAACACGUAGGAAACAACACUGCCGCCGCAAACGCUGCCCGUCGACACGCUGCCCGCCUGCGCCGCGUAUCGAUUUGCGUCGCGACGCCCGAUACGAGUCGUCGGUAGCGCCUUCGCUCCGACCGGAGUUCCCCCUGCGAAUCGUUAGCCCAAUAAUUACGAACGAGAUGGUUCCCAAACUCCCGAAGAGGCCUCUCGAAUGAAUCUGGCCCAAGUACUCUGUAAAUAUAUUUUUUAUGACUGUCAGUGAGAAAAUCGUUAAAAAGGAUGCGCAAUAUUCUUAAAAAUGUUGACAAGAAUGCUCUUGUUGAAAAAAAUACGGUGAUUCGUAUUUAUUAUAUUUAAUAUCAUUGAUGUACUUGAAUUACGUAUAUUCAAGCAUUGCUUAAUUUUGCAUGUGUAUGUAUAUACAUAUUGUAAAGUAAUAUCUAUAAUAAAUAUAUAUAAAAACACA
rnacentral:lncRNA from 13 species